rnacentral:lncRNA from 1 species
AUGAAUCUUACUGUUCAAUCACCCACUUCCCACACGCAACAAUAGCUCAUGGGUACCACAGAUAACUUUGCCAAAGUUCUCUGCCAAAGUUGAGCACGUGAAGCUUGCAGCUCCCACUACAUCGCUCUGACCAAGAAAGGUAAAAGAAUAGCAAAGAAACAACACUAACAAAGUUUAGACACAUAAAUUUUGAAGUUCUAGCUACCAUAUUAUUACCCACAAGGGUAAAGGAACAAUACCACUGCUGGAUAAUUGGAAAGUCCUUGUUUGUCAACCUCUGUGCUUCGUGGCAAGGUAGAGACUAGCAAACAUGCCCAACCUUUACUCACAUUCGAGAAAACACUCCCAACAAGAUUGCUUGCUCCAAAAUCGAAGAGACACCGUCCUUCGAACCUCGAGAGCCAGACUCCCAACAUGACUACUUUCUCAAAAUCGAAGAGAGGGUAAAGGAACAGUACCAUUGCUGGAUAAUUGGAAAGUCCCUGUGUGUGUCAACCUUUGUGCUUCGUGGCAAGGUAGACUAACAAACAUG